AUGUUGAUGCAAGACUACUUCACGGACAAUCCUACCUAUCCGUCGCACCUCUUUCUGAGAAGGUAUCGAAUGUGUCGAUCCCUCUUCGUAAAAAUUGUGCAAGCUUGCAAGGCCAAUUAUCGAUCUUUUACUCAAAGGAGAAAUGUCGCGGGCUUGUUGGGUUUUAGCUCAUACCAAAACAUCUCGGGAGCUAUGCGGGUGAUUGCAUGUGGCAUUCCGGUUGACUAUGCCGACGAGUAUCUUCGCACUGGCGAAGAUAGUACAAUUGAGUCAGUGCGUAGGUUCGCCAAAGUGAUCAUCCGCGUCUUUGGUCUUGUCUAUCUUCGCACACCCAAUGAGGAAGACACUAAAAGUUGA
rnacentral:rRNA from 1 species